rnacentral:rRNA from 1 species
UACGUAGGGACCGAGCGUUGUCCGGAUUCAUUGGGCGUAAAGAGCUCGUAGGCGGCUGCUCAAGUCGAAUGUGAAAACUCGAGGCUCAACCUCGAGCCUGCAUUCGAUACUGGGCGGCUAGAGUCUGGUAGGGGGAUCUGGAAUUCCUGGUGUAGCGGUGGAAUGCGUAGAGAUCGGGAGGAACAUCCGUGGCGAAGGCGGCCAUCUGGAUCAACACUGACGCUGAGGCACGAAAGCGUGGGGAGCAAACAGG